rnacentral:piRNA from 1 species
UUGUGCUUGCUGAUUAUCAAA